rfam:Clostridiales bacterium S5-A11 contig026, whole genome shotgun sequence.
UUAAACAAGAGAAAAAGAAGAGUACUGAGUUUGGACUUUUCCAGAGAGCUUCGUUUGGUGGAAGAAGCAAAGAAAGAACUUAGGAAGAUGGUCUUUUUAUUGGAGCUGUUGAAGUUUUUAGGCGGCUACGGGUGCUCCCGUUACAGGGCUAGGGUAUGAUGGUACCUAAAGAGGUCUAGCUUGCAAAAGCUGGAUGAAUUAAGGUGGUAACACGAAGUUUAUGCUUUCGUCCUUUGG